rnacentral:lncRNA from 1 species
UCGUAACAAAAAAUCAACAUUGACCCAAGGUUCUACAGCAGCAGCAGGUAAAUAUUUUCUUCAUAUAUAUUUGUGUAUAAGUGUAGAGAUGGAUUAAAAACUGAGUGAAUGGUACUAUUGCAUAACUGUGCAUCUGAAUCGUUCUCUGAUUUUGUAGACAAUUCUUGUCUCUAAUAUGUAAUUGUUUGCAAUGGAUCAUAAUUGUUUGCUUGGAUGUUUGGCUCUUCUGCUGGUGCUUUAGGAAACCUCCUAGGUGGCAUUGCUCUCAGCUAUUUUUCUCCCAAAGUCUUGUUUCUGUUUUUCACAAUCCUUCUCCAGCUCUUCAGUACAUCACUUCAGCUCAGUUCUGUUCAUUUCUGUUCUGUUCAGUACAUCAUUUCUGCUCAGUUCUGUUCAUCAGUACAUUAUUUCUGCUCAGUUCUGUUCGAUCAGUUCAGUUCUGUUCAGCCACUCGGUUGAUACAUUUUCUGGUUACAAGCCAUUCACUGAUGCAACACUUUAGCAGAAUCUGAAAUCUGAAAUCUAUAAUAGCUUCAGGAACUCGGUUUAUACCAAACCUCCUAGGUGGCAUUGCUCUCAGCUAUUUUUUCCCAAAGUCAUGUUUCUGUUUUUUUUUUGCAAUCCUUCUCUUGCUGCAGUUCUUCAGUACAUCACUUCAGCUCAGUUCAGUUCUGUUCUGUUCAGUACAUCAUUUCUGCUCAGAUCUGUUCAUCAGUACAUCAUUUCUGCUCAGUUCGGUUCGAUCAUUUUAGUUCUGCUCAGUUCUGUUCAGCCACUCGGUUGAUACAUUUUCUGGUUACAAGCCAUUCACUGAUGCAUCUCUUCAACAAUCAGGUAGUAGACAUGAAUAUGAAAUCUGCAAUCUGAAAUCUGUAAUAACUUAAGGAACUCGGUUGAUACUAGGAAUCUGAAAUCUGUACACAUAAAUCAUUCACUCACACAUGUUGAAAUAGCUUCAGGAACUACUCUAUACAAUCUGUACAAUCACUUCCAUGUCGAAAUAGCUUCAGGAACUACUCUAUACAAUCUCUGAAAAAAACACUAUGAAAUGAAUUCUUGAAGGCCACCAGCUUGAAGGCGCCCGGCUUGAACCAUCACAUCUUCUACGACGAUGCAAGCGAGAUCAUUUGUUGGAUCAGAGAUCAAUGACUGAGAUUGUAUAUGUGCACUAUAUAUAUGCACCUCUCCAUCAUUUGCAUUGGAUAUUUUCCCUUCUUUGUAAUCAUGUGCAUUCAUUACAUAAAUAUAUGUAUUAAUAGACCUUUAUUGCACUUUCAGUUUGUAUUUUCUGUUGGGAGUUUAUAGACCUGCUGAUACAAUAAUUGACAUAUUAUCAAAUUAUGUUGUAGGAAGAGGAGCCGGAAGCAAGGAUCAGAUUGCUUGAAGUGUGAAAAAAAUGAUUACUCGCAUGCAUGCUAGCUGUUGGCGUAACACCCAGCCGAUGGAGAGAUUUUAGUUUGCUAGAUGUAUAUUUGUACUUUUGCAUGUAAUAGAACUGAAAGAUCACUUCAAAAAUUUAGGAAAUUCGUGUAUGCUACUAUUUUUAUAUGUUCAUCACAGGAAUCGUGUUCUAAACAAAUAUAUGUUGGAAUUCAAAGUCAAAGAUUGAUC